ensembl:misc_RNA Metazoa_SRP Metazoan signal recognition particle RNA
GCCUGGUGGGUGCAGUGGUGCGUGCCUACAGGCCCAGUUACUUGGGAGGCUGGGGCAGAAGUUUCACUUGAGUCUAGGAAUUCUGGGCUGUAGUGUGCUACACCAAUCAGGUGUCCACAAUAAAUUCGGCAUCAAUACGGUGACCACCUGGGAGUGGGGGACCACCAGGUUGCCUAAGGAUGGGUGAAUUGGCCCAGGUCAGAAAUGAAGCAGGUCAAAACUGCAGUGCUGAGGUGUUGUGGCUCACAUCUGUAAUCCCAGCACUUUGGGAGGCUGAGAUGGGAUGACUGCUUGAAGCCAAGAGUUGUAGACCAGCCUGGGCAACAUACUGAGACUCCGUCUCU